AAAUUGAAGAGUUUGAUCAUGGCUCAGAUUGAACGCUGGCGGCAGGCCUAACACAUGCAAGUCGAACGGUAACAGGAAGCAGCUUGCUGCUUUGCUGACGAGUGGCGGACGGGUGAGUAAUGUCUGGGAAACUGCCUGAUGGAGGGGGAUAACUACUGGAAACGGUGGCUAAUACCGCAUAAUGUCGCAAGACCAAAGAGGGGGACCUUCGGGCCUCUUGCCAUCAGAUGUGCCCAGAUGGGAUUAGCUUGUUGGUGAGGUAACGGCUCACCAAGGCGACGAUCCCUAGCUGGUCUGAGAGGAUGACCAGCCACACUGGAACUGAGACACGGUCCAGACUCCUACGGGAGGCAGCAGUGGGGAAUAUUGCACAAUGGGCGCAAGCCUGAUGCAGCCAUGCCGCGUGUAUGAAGAAGGCCUUCGGGUUGUAAAGUACUUUCAGCGGGGAGGAAGGUGUUGCGGUUAAUAACCGCAGCAAUUGACGUUACCCGCAGAAGAAGCACCGGCUAACUCCGUGCCAGCAGCCGCGGUAAUACGGAGGGUGCAAGCGUUAAUCGGAAUUACUGGGCGUAAAGCGCACGCAGGCGGUCUGUCAAGUCGGAUGUGAAAUCCCCGGGCUCAACCUGGGAACUGCAUUCGAAACUGGCAGGCUUGAGUCUUGUAGAGGGGGGUAGAAUUCCAGGUGUAGCGGUGAAAUGCGUAGAGAUCUGGAGGAAUACCGGUGGCGAAGGCGGCCCCCUGGACAAAGACUGACGCUCAGGUGCGAAAGCGUGGGGAGCAAACAGGAUUAGAUACCCUGGUAGUCCACGCCGUAAACGAUGUCUACUUGGAGGUUGUGCCCUUGAGGCGUGGCUUCCGGAGCUAACGCGUUAAGUAGACCGCCUGGGGAGUACGGCCGCAAGGUUAAAACUCAAAUGAAUUGACGGGGGCCCGCACAAGCGGUGGAGCAUGUGGUUUAAUUCGAUGCAACGCGAAGAACCUUACCUGGUCUUGACAUCCACAGAACUUUCCAGAGAUGGAUUGGUGCCUUCGGGAACUGUGAGACAGGUGCUGCAUGGCUGUCGUCAGCUCGUGUUGU
rnacentral:rRNA from 1 species